AAAAGGACCAGAGGUGAGGUUUAUUGGCACAACAAAACAUCUUAAACUGUGAAAAAAAAAAAAAAGUGGCGUGAGGCAUAGAGGGAAGAGAAGAAGAAAAAUGAGAGGAAAAUGGCGAAGUGUUUGGAAUUGGAUGGAUGUGAAAGUGAAAAUGAAAAGAGAAAACGGUUGUGGAUGGCGGUUAUUGCACGAGGGUCCUGACACCGUUGAAGAACUUCUUGAUAGGCAUCUAGUUAAAAAAGAUAAGAAUAAUAACGACGACGAAGAAGACGAGUUGUUGAAUCGGAGGCGACUCACCGGCACUCGCCGAGAAGCACUCAGUCUCUACAGGGACAUUCUUCGUGCCUCACGCUUUUUUACCUGGCCUGAUUCCAAAGGCGUUCUCUGGCGCGACGUUCUAAGAGACAGCGCUCGUAAAGAGUUCGAACUCGCUCGAUUUGAGACCGACCCGGAAAUUGUGACCCGCUUGCUCAUCGGAGGCCGCGAGGCUGUCCAUUCCGCAAUUGAUAAACUCGCCGAUAAGCAGAGGCAACAGAUUCAAAAGGAUCGUGCUAGUUCCGCUCCUGAUCACACCUGAUUUCUCAUUAUUAUUAUUUGCCAAUUACAAUCUUGUGAUUUUUCUUUUUGCCAACAACACAGGGGAAGGAAUAGUAAUGCUAAAAUUUGUAAGUCUUAAUCUUGAAAGUCAAGGACUUGAUCAAAUCAGCCAUUUUGUUAACGGUUGUAGGCAAACAAUAAUUAAGUGAAUAGACAAGGUGCCUCUUCCCGGAUACCACAUUCAUUCAUACGUUCGCAAGGAAGCUAAAAUCUCAUGGCCAGAUAUUAUUAUUUCAAGUUAUUACUAAUUCUCUGUUUUACAAGAAAAUAACAUCAACAACAAAAGAUUUUUCUCAUUAGAAGGAGAAAUGGGGAGGGCAGAAAAAAUAGAGGAUCAUAAGUGGAGGAGAGUCCACCAAAGACCCAGGCUACUCUUAUAUGAAGAUCUCUGAAUCCUAGGUCUACUAUUAUAAGCCUUGAAUUUUCUGUCUAUAUGGGCUAUUUUUCUUUGCUUUAGUCUUGUUCCCUUUCUUAACUCAGUUCAAGAGCUGGUCUAGUACUCGAUUCACACCAUUGGAUACUCAGUCCAAAGAACCAUAUCAUUACAUCCCCAAGCGAUUAGUUUUGGGAAGGAUCUGUUCUUGAGGGAAAGGCAAAAUUCAAAAGUAUUGUAGAAUAUCUGGCCAAGUAAGCAGCUGCAAUACUACCUAGUAGAAAUUUUGUUAGAAAAUUGUGAUAACAAAUCUGUUAUGUAUCGCGAACAAAGUUAUAUAUAUGUAAAAUGAGUUGUCUAGUAAAUUACCACACUGAUAUUAGUGUCUGGAAUAACAGCUGAAAUUUGCACAUGUUUUUUUUUGGGUGAUAAUAAGAAGAAUACGAUUAAUUGGAUA